GCAAGAUGGCAGCCACCACGGGCUCGGGAGUAAAAGUCCCUCGCAAUUUCCGACUGUUGGAAGAACUCGAAGAAGGCCAGAAAGGAGUAGGAGAUGGCACAGUUAGCUGGGGUCUAGAAGAUGACGAAGACAUGACACUUACAAGAUGGACAGGGAUGAUAAUUGGGCCUCCAAGAGUAAGCGUCGAGCUACGGCUAUAAAUGUCAAUGUCUUAAAUUCACUGUGCCUCCUUUUAAAAAAUAUUAGCCUUAUCACGGAAAAAAAGCUCACCAAUGGUAUAUUUUCUGAAAUGUGGCUAUUCUUUUUUGACCAGUUUCAGUUUAUAUAUUUGAACCUCCUCUGAUGCUGUUUAACCCCUCUAAAUGACAAUUUAUGAAAACCGAAUAUACAGCCUUAAAAUAGAAUGUGGACCUAAAUACCCAGAAGCACCCCCCUUUGUAAGAUUUGUAACAAAAAUUAAUAUGAAUGGAGUAAAUAGUUCUAAUGGAGUGGUGGACCCAAGAGCCAUAUCAGUGCUAGCAAAAUGGCAGAAUUCAUAUAGCAUCAAAG
rnacentral:lncRNA from 1 species